AUGAUCUGUGCAUGUACUAUUAAUGAUCAGAGAAAGGACAGAAACAGGAAAGGCAAAAAUAUCUGAAGAUACUUAUCAUCUGGUAGGAAGUGCAUUGCAUAAGAGAAAGGUCAGAGAAAGAAAUUGAUGAUCCCAGCUUGAAAGACUAAAUUGAGGCAGAUCACCCCUGUGAUGAGAUCAUCCCGUGUACCACCGUUUGCCUCCUAGAUGAUAGGAAAAUCAGAAGAAGCCUGUGAAAAAAAAGGAUUAUAUUUCAUUAUUUUUUUUCUUUAGAUAUAUUUCCUUAUCUUGUAAACUGUUUUAAAGAAAAUUCUAUCAUCCAAAAUUGAAAUCAGAUGAAUAGUUUACAAUAAAAGUAUAUAAAACGUA